UACGUAGGGUGCAAGCGUUGUCCGGAAUUAUUGGGCGUAAAGAGCUCGUAGGCGGUCUGUCGCGUCUGCUGUGAAAACUCAGGGCUUAACCCUGAGCUUGCAGUGGGUACGGGCAGACUAGAGUGCGGUAGGGGAGACUGGAAUUCCUGGUGUAGCGGUGAAAUGCGCAGAUAUCAGGAGGAACACCGGUGGCGAAGGCGGGUCUCUGGGGCCGAUAACUGAC
rnacentral:rRNA from 1 species